UUUUGAUUACGGUCCCUGCCCUUUGUACACACCGCCCGUCGCUACUACCGAUUGGAUGACAUUAGUGAGGUCUUAGGACCGAGGUAAUGGAGCUUUCAUUAGUUCUUUUACUUUGGAAAUUUGAUCGAACUACGUUAUCUAGAGGAAGUAAAAGUCGUAACAAGGUUUCCGUAGGUGAACCUGCGGAAGGAUCAUUAACGAGCUAAUAAA
rnacentral:rRNA from 1 species